AUUGAACGCUGGCGGCAUGCUUUACACAUGCAAGUCGAACGGUAACAGGCCUUCGGGUGCUGACGAGUGGCGGACGGGUGAGUAAUGCAUCGGAACGUACCCAGAGGUGGGGGAUAACGCAGCGAAAGCUGUGCUAAUACCGCAUGUGAUCUGAGGAUGAAAGCGGGGGACCGAGCAGCAAUGUUUGGCCUCGCGCCUUUGGAGCGGCCGAUGUCGGAUUAGCUAGUUGGUGGGGUAAAGGCCUACCAAGGCGACGAUCCGUAGCUGGUCUGGGAGGACGACCAGCCACACUGGGACUGAGACACGGCCCAGACUCCUACGGGAGGCAGCAGUGGGGAAUUUUGGACAAUGGGCGCAAGCCUGAUCCAGCAAUGCCGCGUGCGGGAAGAAGGCCUUCGGGUUGUAAACCGCUUUUGGCAGGAACGAAACGGUGUCCGCUAAUACCGGGCGCUAAUGACGGUACCUGCAGAAUAAGCACCGGCUAACUACGUG
rnacentral:rRNA from 1 species